rnacentral:rRNA from 1 species
CCUACGGGCGGCAGCAGUGAGGAAUAUUGGUCAAUGGACGAGAGUCUGAACCAGCCAAGUAGCGUGAAGGAUGACUGCCCUAUGGGUUGUAGACUUCUUUUAUAUGGGAAUAAAAUGUUCCACGUGUGGGAGUUUGUAUGUACCAUAUGAAUACGGAUCGGCUAACUCCGCGCCAGCAGCCGCGGUAAUACGGAGGAUCCGAGCGUUAUCCGGAGUUAUUGGGUUUAAAGGGAGCGUAGGUGGAUUGUUAAGUCAGUUGUGAAAGUUUGCGGCUCAACCGUAAAAUUGCAGUUGAAACUGGCAGUCUUGAGUACAGUAGAGGUGGGCGGAAUUCGUGGUGUAGCGGUGAAAUGCUUAGAUAUCACGAAGAACUCCGAUUGCGAAGGCAGCUCACUGGACUGCAACUGACACUGAGGCUCGAAAGUGUGGGUAUCAAACAGGAUUAGAUACCCCAGUAGUC